UGAGACCUCUUGAUGGCCGCGGCCGUGACCUUCAUUGGGAUCGGCUGAGGAACUUCCGGGCUCCGCAGAGCACGAUGGCGGAUAACGUCCGCCCAGGGCGACCUGAGAGAUAGCGCAACAGAGAACAGACCGCCCGUCCUCGACGGGUAAGGGUGAAACGGCGGUGUAAGAGACCACCGGGCCGCUGGCAACAGUCGGCCGCAUGGCAAGCCUCAUCGGGAGCAAGGCCAAGCAGAUGGCGGUAAGGGCUGCUCGCCCGUGUCAUCGGGUAGGCUGCUAGAGCCUGACGGCAACGUCAGGUCGAGAUGGAUGGUCAUCCGUGCCGUGCGUUCGCGCGCGACACGACAGAACCCGGGGUAUAAGAGGUCUCAUCAC
rnacentral:RNase_P_RNA from 1 species